GAGAGUGUAGCUUAGUGGUAAGAGUGUGUGCUUAGUAUGUACAAUUCUUGGGUUCAAUCCCCUGUACCUCCA
rnacentral:tRNA from 1 species